AGUGAACGCUGGCGGUAGGCCUAACACAUGCAAGUCGAACGGCAGCACAGUAAGAGCUUGCUCUUACGGGUGGCGAGUGGCGGACGGGUGAGGAAUACAUCGGAAUCUACUUUUUCGUGGGGGAUAACGUAGGGAAACUUACGCUAAUACCGCAUACGACCUACGGUUGAAAGCAGGGGAUCUUCGGACCUUGCGCGAUUGAAUGAGCCGAUGUCGGAUUAGCUAGUUGGCGGGGUAAAGGCCCACCAAGGCGACGAUCCGUAGCUGGUCUGAGAGGAUGAUCAGCCACACUAGAACUGAGACACGGUCCAGACUCCUACGGGAGGCAGCAGUGGGGAAUAUUGGACAAGGGGCGCAAUCCUGAUCCAGCCAUACCGCGUGGGUGAAGAAGGCCUUCGGGUUGUAAAGCCAUUUUGUUGGGAAAGAAAAGCAGCAGGUUAAUACCCCGCUGUUCUGACGGUACCCAAAGAAUAAGCACCGGCUAACUUCGUG
rnacentral:rRNA from 1 species